UACGGAGGGGGCUAGCGUUGUUCGGAAUUACUGGGCGUAAAGCGAGCGUAGGCGGUUUGGUAAGUUAGGUGUGAAAGCCCGGGGCUCAACCCCGGAACUGCACUUAAAACUGCUGGGCUAGAGGCCGAGAGAGGUGAGUGGAAUUCCCAGUGUAGAGGUGAAAUUCGUAGAUAUUGGGAAGAACACCAGUGGCGAAGGCGGCUCACUGGCUCGGAUCUGACGCUGAGGCUCGAAAGCGUGGGGAGCAAAC
rnacentral:rRNA from 1 species